rnacentral:rRNA from 1 species
AUGGAUCGCUGCUGGACGGCCAAAUGCCGCACUCGUCAUGGACUGCCGCACGACCCCCUCUGCAAGCUCUGCUGCCAAGAGCUCGAGUCCCUGGAUCACCUACUUGCCCGGUGCGUCUUCUCCAGAAUAACUUGGCACGAGAUCCUCUCAUGGUGCCGGCUGCCAAUCCCCACACCAAGCUCCACCGAUGCCUUCUUCGAUUGGUGGUGCAAGACCAACAACUCCUCCCCAGCUUCACUCCGCAAGGGGGUGAACUCGCUCAUCGUGCUCACCGCAUGGUCCAUCUGGAAACACCGGAACGCCGCUGUCUUCAACAAUGCCCGGCCUUCGAAUGAUGAUCUUGCUCGCACAAUCAAAGACGAGGCCCGCCUGUGGGCACGUGCUGGAGCAACUAGGCUAGCAUCCAUCAUUCAUGUAACCUGA